UACGUAGGGUGCAAGCGUUGUCCGGAAUUAUUGGGCGUAAGAGCUUGUAGGCGGUUUGUCGCGUCUGCUGUGAAAUUUCGGGGCUCAACCCCGAACUUGCAGUGGGUACGGGCAGACUAGAGUGUGGUAGGGGAGACUGGAAUUCCUGGUGUAGCGGUGAAAUGCGCAGAUAUCAGGAGGAACACCGAUGGCGAAGGCAGGUCUCUGGGCCAUAACUGACGCUGAGAAGCGAAAGCAUGGGGAGCGAACAGG
rnacentral:rRNA from 1 species